ACUUUGGUUAGAUCCGACGGGCAGGAAGAGAUAAUCUUAUGGAACUGCUAGAAACUCGAGCUCGCGCUCCUGGAAACUUGCCAAAGAGGCGAAGAACUCGGCAUUUCUAUGCCAAAUCCUUGGUUAGAGUGACCACCAUCGACGAGGGAAGAGAUUUACACGUUCAAAUCGUCCGCGAUGGCUACUCUCGCGAGAGAUUCCUCGCAAACUUGCUGAUCGAAAUGUAUGGCAAGUUUGGGGAUCUUGCGAACGCACAGCAAGUUUUUGACGAGAUCAAUGAUCCCAAUCUCUUCUCCUGGACGAAUCUUAUCGUUACCUACGCCCACAACGGCGAUUGCGAGACAUCCAAAGGAGUUUUCGAUAGGAUGCCCGAGAGGGACAGGGUAUCCUGGACUGCGAUGCUCAAGGCAUAUGCCGCGAAUCGCCAACUUGACGCAGCAAAGAUCCUGUUUGAAAAGAUGCCUUCUUGGGACGUCGUUUCCUCCACAGUGAUGAUCCAAGCAUAUUCUUUGGAAGGGUAUAUCAGCGAAGCAAAGAGAAUCUUUGGCUCCAUCCCCGAGGUGAAUCUAGUCCCUUGCACGAUUAUGCUGCGAGCAUAUGCCCAAAAUGGGAAUAUUCGCGAGGCAAAAGCCAUGUUUUACAAAAUGCCGGUCAAAGACAUUGUCACGUGGACUGAAUUAAUCUCAUCUUACGCUAAUUGUGGAGACAUUUCUAGCGCAACACAAACCUUUGACAGAUGCCCCGAAAGAAAUGUUAUUAUUUGGAAUGCUCUUAUCUCGGGAUAUGCCUUGAAAGAGCAUAUGAAAGAUGCCAAGGACAUCUUUGAUGCCAUGCCCGAGUGGAGCUUAGUUACGUGGACAUUAAUGUUAAAUGGCUACUUAGACUGCGAGAGUUUAGAGGAAGCCAAGUGUCUGUUUGACUCUAUGCCCGAGCAUGAUGUUAUUCUCUGCAAUUCCCUCAUAGCUGCAUAUUCAAAGGCAGGGUACCCCACAGAGGCCGAAAGAAUCUUCCAGACGAUGCCCGAGCACAGCAUCCUCUCCUGGACCGCCAUGAUGGCCGCCUUCGGGCAAAGUCAGCUCGUCCGCCUCGCGAAGUCAACUAUAGUCAACGCUCCCGAGCGUGGCACAGUGGUGUUGACGUCCAUGGUAGGGGCAUUUGCUGGAGCUGGAUGCGUUGCCCAGGCAAGAUCAUUGUUUGACACCGUCCUAGAGCGCGACACCAUCGCCUGGAACACCAUGAUCCUGGCCUAUGCUCGCAUGGGUCUCGCAAAAGAGGCGCUGGAUCUCUUCUACGACAUGGAGAUCGAGAGUGGCGAUCCCAACGCCGUCUCCUUUCUCGGCGUCUUGAUCGCGAACAACCAUCUCGGCCUCUUCAACGAGGCCUUGCGCAAUCUCGCGACAAUGAAUCGCGAUCACGGAGUCACGCCCUGCGUGGAGCACUUGUGCUGCAUCAGCGAUCUCCUGGGAAGAUCUGGGCUGAUCGAGAGCGUGGAGGAACUGAUCCAUGGAAUGCCCUGCCUCGCGGAGAAUCGCGUUGCUUGGGGAAGCCUGUUUGGCGCUUGCCAGAUCCAAUCCUCCAGUGGCGAGAUCAAAGCGCGAGCCGCCAAGCAAGUGUGGAAGUUGUACGGCAGACCACGGUGGAAGUUGUACGGUAGAGCACGCCUAGAUCGGACGGUAGAUUCGCAAGGAGUAUGCCCCGUACAGCCUAUACGGACAAAAGUUUGAAACUAACCGAACGGCCAAGUGGGAGUUUGGGACGGGGACACUUCGUAGCCGUCAAUCCCCGAGCACCAUCGAGGAUAAACUCACGUGGCACACAGCUGGCGGUCUCCGGUUGGCCGCUUCCCCGGAGGACGUUGUGCCCGGAAGUGACGAGGAGCGCCAAAGAACUGAGCCUUAUUGACGCAAAGAAAGUGGUGUCUAGGCUAAAAAGCGCGAUGGAACCGCGACGAGCACCUUAGUGCGUUCUAGGGUUAAGAUCUCUCGGUGGAAUUCUAGCCGCAUUGGAGGUGGAAAGUGCGAUUUUUUCUCGCCCAGGAGCCGCGGCAGAGGAACGACAAGACGAACAGGAUGACCCUUCAAAUGUCCCCAGUGGGGAUGCUCUGAAAGGAAAGCAGAUCCGCAAGAAAUUUGGAAGGAAAUUUUACA